rnacentral:misc_RNA from 1 species
AAGUCGUAACAAGGUCUCCGUAGGUGAACCUGCGGAGGGAUCAUUAAUGAGUGAGGGCCUCCGGCCCGACCUCCCACCCUUUGUUGUACCGACCUCUGUUGCCUCGGGGGCGACCCGGCGCUUCGGCGCGGGGGCCCCCGGUGGACUUUGAUCAAACGCUGCAUCUUUGACGUCUGAGUGAAUUGAUAAAUCAAUCAAAACUUUCAACAACGGAUCUCUUGGUUCUG